CAUAAUUCUUUUCACUGCUUCAGAUUUUGAUUAUUUAUUGUUCUGUUGACACAAGCACCACAACAGUUAGUUAUGUUUCUUGUCCUGCAGGCUCAUAUUUACACCAUUAGUAGCUUCACUCAAUUUGGGAUGACAAAAUCGCCAGCCUAAACCACCCAUGAUGGAUCUAAAGUGUCACCUGUCAUAUGGACAGUUUCAGAAAGCACAGCUCUGCUGACAGCCAAAACAUUUGAUAAGAUUCUCAGUCGGAUCCGUUUUCAACAUGAUCUCCUAGAAGUUUCCAUUGUUUGAGACAUUGACUGAGUGCUUCAUAUCUCUGGACCAUUUUCCUGAUGUAUUCCUGGAGCUUGGAUAUUUCAUCCCGGAUGGUGUCUUUGAUACUCACUAGUCCUCUGCCACCUUCUGUGCAAAUAGUGCAUCACCUGUGGAUACUGGAUUGAAGGUGGACUCCAAUAUGCACUGACAUAAAGGCGCCCAGAUGGGGAACCAACCUAUCAGUCACUUUUAGCAACAAAUGCACUAUGGAAAGGAAGGACCAGCUUAUGCAGUUCUACCUUUCAAGGUGAAAAGCAACUAUUUAUUUACUUAAACAUAUACUUAAAUAUAUAUAUCAUUCAGUCAUUUUAUUAUGCUCAUAACUGUGUGCAAAGGAAAAUUGAGGUUAAAAUACACAACACACUUGUCUAGUGAGUGUCUCUAAGCUCGGUAUGAGCCUGCAUGUAGCGACAGUGGAGAGGAAAAACUCCCCUUUAACAGGAAACCUGGCUUGGUAGGAGCGGCCAUCUGCCGCGACCGACUGAUUUGAGUAGACGGAGCGCACGCACACACACA